CCUACGGGAGGCAGCAGUGAGGAAUAUUGGUCAAUGGUCGGGAGACUGAACCAGCCAAGCCGCGUGAGGGAGGAAGGUACAGAGUAUCGUAAACCUCUUUUGUCAGGGAACAAAGGCGGGGACGUGUCCCCGGAUGAGUGUACCUGAAGAAAAAGCAUCGGCUAACUCCGUGCCAGCAGCCGCGGUAAUACGGAGGAUGCGAGCGUUAUCCGGAUUUAAUGGGUUUAAAGGGUGCGUAGGCGGUCUGUUAAGUCAGCUGUCAAAGCCCGGGGCUCAACCCCAGGCCAGCAGUUGAAACUGGCAGUCUCGAGUUGGAGAGAAGUAGGCGGAAUGCGCGGUGUAGCGGUGAAAUGCAUAGAGAUCGCGCAGAACUCCGAUUGCGAAGGCAGCAUGCCGGCUCCACACUGACGCUGAGGCACGAAAGCGUGGGUAUCGAACAGGAUUAGAUACCCCGGUAGUC
rnacentral:rRNA from 1 species